CACAUGCAAGUCGAAGGGUAACAACACUUCGGUGGCCGGCGAGUGGCGCACGGGUGCGUAACGCGUAUGCAACCUACCCUUUACAGGGGGAUAGCCCAGAGAAGUUUGGAUUAAUACCCCAUGGCACACAGAUGCGGCAGUGCAUUUGUAUUAUACAUUCAUCGGUAAGGGAUGAUCAUGCGUUCUAGAAGCUAGUUGGUAAGGUAACCGCUUACCAAGGCUAAGAUUGAUAGGGGCCCUUAGAGGGGGAUCGCCCACACUGGUACUGAGACACGGACCAGACUCCUACGGGAGGCAGCAGUGAGGAGUAUUGGUCAAUGGGCGAGAGCCUGAUCCAGCCAUGCCGCGUGCAGGAAGACUGCACUAUGGGUUGUAAACUGCUUUUAUACUGCAACAAACACCUCGAUGCGAGGGGUCUUGACGGUACCGUAAGAAUAAGGAUCGGCUAACUCCGUGCCAGCAGCCGCGGUAAUACGGAGGAUCCCAAGCGUUAUCCGGAAUCAUUGGGUUUAAAGGGUCCGUAGGUGGAUGGUUAAGUCAGGGGUGAAAUUCCCGCAGCACAACUGUGGAAUUGCCUUUGAUACUGGCCAUUUUGACUCAUUGUGAAGUAGUUGGAAUAUGUAGUGUAGCGGUGAAAUGCAUAGAUAUUACAUAGAACACGGAGUGCGAAGGCAGAUUACUAACAACGUACUGCCACUGAUGGACGAAGCGUGGGGAGCGAUCAGGAUUAGAUACCUUGGUAGUCCACGCCGUAAACGAUGGUCACUAGCUGUCCGGACUUCGGUCUGGGUGGCUAAGCGAAAGUCAUAAGUGACCUACCUGGGGAGUACGUUCGCAAGAAUGAAACUCAAAGGAAUUGAGGGGGGUCCGUACAAGCGGUGGAGCAUGUGGUUUAAUUCGAUGAUACGCGAGGAACCAUACCAGGGCUUAAAUGUAGAUUGACAGGACUAGAGAUAACUUUUCCUUCGGGCAAUAUACAAGGAGCUGCAUGGUUGUCGUCAGAUCGUGCCGUGAGGUGUCAGGUUAAGUCCUAUAACGAGCUCAACCCCUGUUUUUAGUUGCCAGCGAGUGAAUUCGGGCACUCUGACAAAACUGCCGGUGAAAACCGUGAGGAAGGUGGGGAUGACUUCAAAUCAUCACGGCCCUUACGUCCUGGGCUACACACCUGCUACAAUGGUCGGUCCAGAGAGCAGCCACUGGGUGACCAGGAGCGAAGCUAUAAAACCCAUCACAGUUCGGAUCGGAGUCUGCAACUCGACUCCGUGAAGCUGGAAUCGCUAGUAAUUGCAUAUCAGCCAUGAAUGCCGUGAAU
rnacentral:rRNA from 1 species